rfam:Oryza brachyantha chromosome 8, whole genome shotgun sequence.
UUUUUGUUUUUUCGUGUUCAACGUUUAACCAUUUGUCUUAUUUAAAAAAUUUAUGUAAAAACUUAAAAAAAUUAGUCACGUAUAAAGUACUAUUUAUAUUUUAUCAUUUAGUAAUAAUAAAAAUAUUAAUCGCAAAAAAAAUUCAAAUAAAACGAAUCGUCAAACGUUGGACACGAAAAACGAAAAAUAAGAUUAUU